AUUGAACGCUGGCGGCAGGCCUAACACAUGCAAGUCGAGCGGAUGAAGGGAGCUUGCUCCUGGAUUCAGCGGCGGACGGGUGAGUAAUGCCUAGGAAUCUGCCUGGUAGUGGGGGAUAACGUCCGGAAAAGGGCGCUAAUACCGCAUACGUCCUGAGGGAGCAAGUGGGGGGGCUUCGGACCUCACGCUAUCAGAGGAGCCUAGGUCGGAUUAGCUAGUUGGUGGGGUAAAGGCCUACCAAGGCGACGAUCCGUAACUGGCCUGAGAGGAUGGUCAGUCACACUGGAACUGAGACACGGUCCAGACUCCUACGGGAGGCAGCAGUGGGGAAUAUUGGACAAUGGGCGAAAGCCUUAUCCAGCCAUGCCGCGUGUGUGGAGAAGGUCUUCGGAUUGUAAAGCACUUUAAGUUGGGAGGAAGGGCAGUAAGUUAAUACCUUGCUGUUUUGACGUUACCAACAGAAUAAGCACCGGCUAACUUCGUG
rnacentral:rRNA from 1 species